UGAGGAAUUGCUAUUACCUGUCUCGAUGCAUCACUCAAUGGAUUUAAAGGGACACAUGACUGAUAAAGAUCCCAGCCCUUCGUUGUGUUAUUACUUCAGGAUGUGGAAGGAACGUAAAAGUUGAGUGGCAGAAAGGACAGCAAGAGAUAAGAAGAGUAAAUAUUUUCAGUACUUUUUGAUAUUUAACAAAGAACGUCUUUGGCUGUAAUGUCAAUAAGAGUGAAGUGAUAAUUGAGCUUAGCAAUGAAUUUUUCUUCCAGAGAAAGGAAAAGGUAGGCAUAAAUGAUAUCAUUGGUCAACUCAAUACAGAAUACAGGACACCCUACAUACAUACUGACUGAAGCUAAUGCUAGACUUCUCAACUGUGAUGGCAUAGAAAACUUUCAAUGAAAGACUAAGCUGGAUUUGAAAACAACUCUGGCGUGCUGGCUGAGGCUGCGACUCAAAUCAUCUUAAACUUCAUAUUGUAUUACUAUGAAGAUAAUCUGGAGCCGAAGAAACACUCUCCCCGUCUGAGUAUUUGAAUAGCUGCAGGCAUAGGUACCAGCCAACAACUUAAUUAUGGAUUUAAAAAAUUG
ensembl:lincRNA